UCCCCUGUAGCUCAGCUGGUAGAGCGGGUGACUGUUAAUCACCUUGUCGUUGGUUCGAGUCCAGCCGGGGGAG
rnacentral:tRNA from 2 species